ACUGCUUCUUGGCCUUUGGCUAAGACCCCAAAUAGUAUCUGUCCUUGCCAGUUUACCAUACUAUGUGCUCUGUCCAGAACAACAUAUGAAACAAGUUUCUAAAGCAGGGAGAUGGAAGGGAACUUGUUACAUCCACUUCACAGGUCAACCUGGUAUUGUAGAGCCUCAGAAAAAAUGCACCCCUU